UGUUGCAUGUCCAAGCUCAGUUGGUAGAGCAUUGCGCUAACAACACAUAGAUCCCGGGUUCAAAACAUAGAGAAAUAA